UAGGGAAUCUUCGGCAAUGGGGGCAACCCUGACCGAGCAACGCCGCGUGAGUGAAGAAGGUUUUCGGAUCGUAAAGCUCUGUUGUAAGUCAAGAACGGGUGUGAGAGUGGAAAGUUCACACUGUGACGGUAGCUUACCAGAAAGGGACGGCUAACUACGUGCCAGCAGCCGCGGUAAUACGUAGGUCCCGAGCGUUGUCCGGAUUUAUUGGGCGUAAAGCGAGCGCAGGCGGUUUGAUAAGUCUGAAGUUAAAGGCUGUGGCUCAACCAUAGUUCGCUUUGGAAACUGUCAAACUUGAGUGCAGAAGGGGAGAGUGGAAUUCCAUGUGUAGCGGUGAAAUGCGUAGAUAUAUGGAGGAACACCGGUGGCGAAAGCGGCUCUCUGGUCUGUAACUGACGCUGAGGCUCGAAAGCGUGGGGAGCGAACAGGAUUAGAUACCCUGGUAGUCCACGCCGUAAACGAUGAGUGCUAGGUGUUGGAUCCUUUCCGGGAUUCAGUGCCGAAGCUAAC
rnacentral:rRNA from 1 species